AUACUUGCAAAAUAUUUCUUUCUCUCCUGGCAUUCACGCUUUAGACUCCAGCCUUCUGUACCUGGACUUGCUAUGCUGCAAGAGGAAGAAAUGAAUGUUUUUUGUUUACUAAGAGAACCAGUUGUACAGAUUGUAGCAGACAUUUUUCAUCAUGUAAUCCUGGAUGCCAGUGCUUAUCGCUUUUAAAAUUCACUGUCUUCCUCUGGGUUUUCUAAGGAGAUAGGUGACUGCAAAAAUGGGAUAUGUUUGUUUUAAUUCCCAUUUUUUAGCAUUGGCAUCUUCUAAGCAGAAUAUACAGGUAGAGUCUUCAGAAAUGCUCCUAAGUUUGAAGUCUAGAUAACAUAAGCCUAAACAUUAGCAGCCUUCCCACCCUCCAGUGAUCCCAGUCUUCCAAACAGACAGGAAGCCAGCUUGGCACUGAAAUUCAGCCUGUGCUCUGCUCACUGGGCCAUAUGCCUGGCAGGAGGCUUCAUUUAACCAGAGUAGGUCUGCCUUCUCCCUCUGACAGAGUGCUGUCCUCUGCCCACUCCAAGUGUCCACGGGGCUUUUCCCCUUGAUGGGUGAGCUGCACCGGGCACCUUAUACUAACUUGUCUGCACAGGGGAACAGCUUUAUCUCACUUGCGGAUGGGUACACCACGUUGUAUGCUGGUGGCCAUGGUAGUAAAUUCAGGAUUUCAUCACUGUGUUCCAUGAUUACCAGCAGCUGAAGGAGAAUAGAAGAGAAAAUCAAUUCCCUGUUUCAUUAAGCCUGUUGCCCCAAAUAAAGACCUGCCAUCAUAUGGAUGCCAGCUUCCUGUUGUGUCAGCCAGUCCCAUGGUCUACUCUGUGCUUCAGAGUGGUUGGCUGUUAUUUUCAAGUGGUUUCAUAAUCAUACAGAUAACUCAUUACUCUCCCUUCCUCUCCACCAGAAUAUUAACUUUAAAAGCAUCUCCUGCUAAUGAUGAAUUUUUUACCACCAACCAUACAUAGAUGAGCUGGAAGGAAUUUAAAAGUGAAGGCCUCACAUAAUCCUUAAUUGCCCUCUCAGCCAAGAUUUUGCAGUUCGUGCACUCAUUGAAUCUGUUUCGAGAAAUGCUAGUGAUUAGAAAAAGUGAAUAGUUUUUAUUUUUUUCCCCUGCACAUCUCCUGUUGCAUUCUAAUGACCAAUGGGUGGGCUGGAAAGGGGGAGGCUGCAGGUUAGCUAGGCCCUCUGUGACCUCUGGCUGCAGUGUGGGAAGUACCAAGAUUUGGGAGAAUGGGUCUGCCUUCUCUGGUGCCCCGGACCAAGGGCUUCCUGCAGCUGACCUUGCUUCUCUCUUGGCUGGUGGUAUGAGUUCAAAGUCAUAUUUAUUUAUUUAUUUAUUGUGCUUUUUAGGGCCGCAUUUGUAGCCCUGCUUCCUCAGGGAUGCUAGUCAGAUUCGUUUCCACUGAGCCAUGACAGGAACUCCCAAAGUCACUUUUAAAUCCCUCUCCUCCCCAAAUGAUGAAUUAUAGGUUCAAGUGGGCAACUUUAGUAAAAGAAGGAGGCCAGUGUGAUAAAGGAUGUGGUGGAGAUGGGGGUGGACGGGUCAGCGCCAGCUCCUAAGAGAAGUAGUAGCCAACCCCACCCCAAGGUAUUCCUAGACAGUCCAUUCUUUUCCCAGGAAACUGGAAGAGCUAGUUUGUGAUGUGAAACCUAAUGAAUAUUGAAAUGUUGGCUUGAUUUCUUUUGAGACACGAUUAGACAAGUACAGCACUUCUUUAGUGGAGUGUAGCCGUCUUGCUGAGAGUUUGCAAUUUCUGAACUAGUGGUGGUGUGUGCAAGGCAAAGGCCUGACUUGUCCUAUUUUAGAAUGACACCCCCAGACCUUCUACCCAUCUGGUGCAUUCAGUCUUGGUGUUGGAAGGUUGGGAAGCACGAGUCUAAGGAUUGAAGUGGGAAGCUCUCCCAUGGGGAUGAGUGUGAAGGGAAAAGCCAAGGAUGCUUGUGCAUGGAACAGCAUCUCUCCCAGGAGCUGGCCCAGUGCUGUGCUGUUAUUGCCACCAACUACACAGCCAGUGAAGAGCUGACCAUACCCACCCCCUGAGGAGGAGGGGGCCCAGUGUAUCCAUCAGGCCUCUCCAGGGAAAUAGGAACAAUAGGAGAUAUAUAGAUAUAUAUGUGCAUGCAUUAUGUGUAUAAUAUAUAUUUAUGUAACAUUUAUAAAUGUAUGUAUUUGGAGAAUACUAACUUUGAACUCCUGUUAGGCAAAAUGUUAUCCCUCAAACAAGAAAAGAAUUCCUUUCUUCUCAUUAGUAGACCUUUAUUACAAAAAAAUUGUGCUCAUGUUUAUAAUUUUGUCAACAGAAAUUGUGGAAAUUAAAGAUACAUAUAUUUGUAAACAAAGAUUUUAUAUACAUAUGUGGGUGUCUAUACAUACACAUAUAUAUGACUUAUUUUAAAGAAUUAGAUCAUGUGUCAUGCAGUUGUGGAGUUGGCAAAUGAAGAAUCUGUAGGACAGGCUAGCAGGUUGCAAGACUUCUUUUUUUGUUUUUGGUUUUGCUUUUUUUUGGCUGCGCCCAUGGCAUGUGAAAGUUCCCAGGCCAGGGAUUGAACCUGCGCCACAGCAGUGACCCAAGACACUGCAGUGACAAUGCCAGAUCCUUAACCUGCUGAGCCAUAAGAAAACUCCCCCCCCUUUUAAUGUUACAUUGGAGUAUAGUUGAUUUACAAUGUUUUGUUAGCUUAAGGUGCACAGCAAAGUGAAUCAUUUAUACAUAUACAUAUAUCCAUUCUCUUGCAGAUUCUUUUUUUAAUUUGGUUAUCACAGAAUAUUGAAUAGAGUUCCCUAUGCUCUACAGUAGGUCUUUGUUGAUUAACAAUUUUGUAUAUAGUGGUGUAUGUAUAUUAAUCCCAACUCCUAAUUUAUCCCUCUCCAGGCAGGAUUUCUAUGUUACAGAUUUGAUGCAGAAUUUAUCUCUAGAAAGCCCCUGCCUUUGCCCUUAAAUGCUUCAAUUGAUUGGGUGAGGCCUACCCACAUUAUCUAGGGUAAUUUCCUUCACUGCAGUACUGAUACUAGAGUUUGAUUAAAUGACUGGGUACAGCAGCACAGCCACAUUGACACAAAACAGAUCAUAGCAUCCAGGAUUUUGUCAUGGUGUUCAGGGGUUGUGGAGCAUGAGGCUGAGGUCAGGUGGGCCGGUACUUUCAGACUCAUGGCCAGUAAAGUACAGAAGACAGGCCUCCACACAUGCCAUAACAUGGCAUUUGAAUGCAGUAAAUCACUUCUGAUCCCAGCAAGAGGAGAACUGUCUUGCAGUGACUAAAGUUCACAGCUUUAAGCCCUCUCACUUGCAUAGCCUCCUUCCCCAAUGCUGUACCUCAUUUUGGGCUCAAAACAUUGAAUUCUUUUUCUCAGUCGUUACUCCUAUAGAAGCUCCAGGUCCCUCAAAACCUGAUCUGCUUCACUUGGUUCUAGUUCUAUUUCAGUGCCCUCUGGCCAGCCCCUCUGUGUUUCUGCACCUCAUUUGUAAAGUUAGGAAGAGAAUUUUAACCAUCUUCUGGGGUUCUUCCAAGGAUAAGAGAAGAGGCUGUGCAGUUAUGAACAUAUGAAAAAUCUAAAUGCUUCCUUCUAGUUUCUGCUUCCCCAAAGUGUUAAAAUAUUAGUAUUUUAUUAGCUAAAACUGUAGCACCAACUUCUUAUACUCAAUAAAUAGGUAAUUUCAAGUGUGAGGAUAUACAAUGCCCCAUUCCCAAUGGUCAUAAAGAGCCUUUUCAUUUUGAAUAGCUAGCUUUCCAAUGCUUCAUAUCAGGAAUGCAGGAAACAUCAUCCAGCCAUGUCUGUGGUCCCUGGAGACCGUCACUGGGUGUUGCCUGAGCCUGGCCUGUGCUGACGGUCUCACAUAUCUGCUUCUCAGCUUGCUCCUCAUGGCAGUAUAGGGGGAAGUGUCACCAUCUAAUUUUCCAAAUGAGGAAACUGAAGCACAGAGAAGUUAAAUUUAAUUUUCAGCAGGUCACAUAGUAGCAGAGCUGAGAUUCAACCCCUGUGAGGAGCUCUUCUGUUAGCUCUUCUAGAGAGCAGCCACCAGAGGCCUUGAGGAGAGCAUUUGCUGAUGGCAGUAGCCACUUUACCAGGCAGACUCAGGUCCUGUGCUACUGGAAAAAUGAAAUCCUCUGCUGCCUCUCAGGGAGCCACAUCAGGGCCUCUGGAAGGUUGUGCAGGUUGUGUACUGCCCACAGCUUCUGAUCCUUAGCAGGUGGAGACUAACCUCUAACCUAUAGAUAGAGGACCUUGCAGAACUGCAGGGGCCCAGAGAGGUGCCUUUUGCUCCUUCACACAAGUCAUUUUCUAUCUAGGACCCUGGCCGGCCUUGCAUGGAAUUCUUCUUAUUCUUUCCCUCUCUCACACCAUUUACCACAGUCUCCUUAGGCCUUCCUGCACAUUGGACUCUGGCUGAUUUCAUGCGUUGUCUCCUUUGUGCAAGUCCUUCUGACCUCCUGGUUCACUGUGCUGUGAUCUUAAAUCCCUCUCAGCUCCACCCCAUUAUUCAUUCAUCAACACACAUGGAUGAAACAUUGACUAGGUGCCUAGGACUGUUCUAGGUGGUGGAGUUAGGGUAAGGAUAAACUCAGAGAUGAGUGACAAGGAGGCUUAGAAAUCAGGAAGUUCAAAUUCAUGGAGGGAAAACGAGUCUCAGAAAGUAGUCACGACAAUAGUAAAGUUGUAUCGCAUGUUAACUAUUUGCUGGAAUUUCUAAGGACUUUGCCUCCAUAUAUUCAUUCGAACUUUCUGGUGAUCCCAGAAGUGUUGGGACAACUGUACUUCCAUUUUAUAUUAGAUGGAACCAUGUGAGGUUGCUGUUGUGAUCAAUGUAGUUCAGAACAAUUGUGGAUCAGCAGUUUCAUAAGGUUCUGCCUAAGAGAUGUGGACGCUCUGUGCUGUUACGUGCUGAGAGCUCCUGAUGUAGUAGGUGGUAGAGCUGAGGCCUGGACAUUUGUGCUCCAGAGGAGGGGCGGGGAAGGUUCAUCUUAGGGGGCACCUAAGAUGUGCUCUCAUUUUCUGCUCUUUGACUGUGGGCGAACCUACGUUCCGUGUUUAUUAAGGUCAGAAACUUGGUAUCUUUUACCUCCUGCAUCACAACACCUGGUCCAGGGCUUUGCUCUUAGGAAGGACUAUGUAAAAAACUUUCCCUUGAUUAGUUCUUUUACUGUCAGUGUGUCUAAGUUUUCUGAGAGAGAAAAGUGAAAAAAGAAAAACAAAAAAAAAAAAAAAAAAAAAAAAAAAAGAUGGUCAACAGGCACAUGAAAAGAUGCUUCUUGUCACUAAUUAUUAGAGAAAUGCAGAUCAGAACUGCAAUGAGGUACUACCUCACACUGAUUAGACUGGCCAUCAUCAAAAAAACUACAAAAAACAUGUGCUGGAGAGAUUGUGGAGAAAAGGGAACUCUCCUUUAUGGUUGGUAGGAAUGUAAGUUGAUGUAGACACCGUGGAGAACAGCAUGGAAUUUCCUCAGAAGACUGAAAAUAGAGUUGCCAUUUGAUCCAGCAGUCCCACUCCUUGGUAUCUAGACAAAACUAUAAUUCGAAAAGAUACAGGCACUCCAGUGUUCUUAGUAGCACAAUUCACAAUAGCUAAGACAUGGAGACAAACCUAAAUGUCCAUCAACAGAGGAAUGGAUAAAAAAGAUAUGAGAUAUAUAUAUAUAUAUGAAAUAACACCAUUUGCAGCAACAUGGGUGCAACUAGAGAUGAUCAUACUGAGCAAAGUAAGUCGGAAAGAGUAAGACAAAUACCAUAUGAUAUCACUUAUAUGUGGAAUUUAAAAUAUGACACAAAUUAACUAAUUUAUGAAACAGGAACACACAAACAUAGACAACAGUCUUGUGGUUGCCACAGGCAAGGGUGGGAGAAGGAUUGGGAGUUUGGAAUUAGCAGAUGCAAACUAUUAUAUACAAAAUGGAUAAACCAAGCACAGGGAACUAUAUUCAAUAUUCUGUAAUAAACUAUCAUGGAAAAGAGUAUGGAAAAGAAUGUAUAUAAUAUAUAUGUAAUUUAUAUAACUGAGUCACUUUUCUGUAUGAUGGAAAUUAGCACAACACUGUGAAUCAGCUAUGCUUCAAUGAAAUAAAAAUUUUUUAAAAAGAAUUGAGGGUUUAGGAGGAGGGUAAGGGAAAAAAAAUUCAAGAGGUAACUAAAAAUAACUAAAAAUUUCUCUGAAUCAGUAGUAAUUAGUAUUAACAUAUAAUGAAUAUUAUAAUAAUCUAAACUAAAAGGUCCUGGAUAGGUGAGGAUUGAAUGUUUAGAGUAUAAAAGACAAGUGAAUGUGAUUUGUGAAGGAAGCACUUCAGACCUUGUCAUCUAUCACUCUGCUCCAGCCCAGCCUCAUGCAUCAGUGUCUGUGAUGCUUGCUGUGUUUCUGAUGCAGGGUCGUUCUCAUGGAAAGAUGUCUCAGAAGGUGCUUGGUGUGUAAGGGGUAUUACUCCAUGGAGUUCCCAUUGUGGCUCAGUGGGUUAAGAACCCAACAUUGUGUCCAUGAGGAUGGGGGUUUAGUCCUUGUCCUUGCUCAGUGGGUUAAGGAUCGAGCAUUGCUGCAAGCUGCAGCAGCAUAGGUUGCAGAUGCGUCUCAGAUUCGGUGUUGCUGUGACUGUGGCUGUGGCCAGCAGCUGCAGCUACAUUCGACACCUUAGCUUGGUGACUUCUAUAUGCUGCAGGUGCAGCCUUAAAAAAAUAUAAAGUAUAUCACUCCAUGUCAGAGCUGAACAACAACAACAACAAC
rnacentral:lncRNA from 9 species